rnacentral:rRNA from 1 species
GCAAGUCGAACGUGAAAACCCUCGGGUGAGUAGCGUGGCGGACGGGUGAGUAACACGUAAUCAAGCUACCUGCCAGACAGGGAUAACCUCGGGAAACCGGGGCUAAAACCUGAUGGUCUUGUCGGACCGCAUGGUCUGACAAGUAAAUGGACGGGACCCUUCGGGGCCGUCUGCUGGCAGAGGUGAUUGCGGCCCAUCAGCUUGUUGGUAGGGUAAUGGCCUACCAAGGCUACGACGGGUAGCCGGCCUAAGAGGGUGGUC